rnacentral:rRNA from 1 species
GUCUACAGCCAUACCACCCUGAACAUGCCUGAUCUCAUCUGACCUUGGAAGCUAAGCAGGGUAGGGCCUGGUUAGUAUUUGGAUGGGAGAAAAGGAGAAAGAGAGACA